AUUCGCCCUUACAGUUACCUUGCUACGACUUCACCCCAGUCAUCGGACCCGCCUUCGACGAGCUCCCUCCUGUUUAAGUUGGGUCACCGGCUUCAGGCGUUUCCAACUCCCAUGGUGUGACGGGCGGUGUGUACAAGACCCGGGAACGUAUUCACCGCGGCAUUCUGAUCCGCGAUUACUAGCGAUUCCAGCUUCAUGUAGUCGAGUUGCAGACUACAAUCCGAACUGAGACGUUAUUUUUGAGAUUUGCUCACACUCGCGUGGUCGCUUCCCUCUGUUUACGCCAUUGUAGCACGUGUGUAGCCCUGGCCAUAAAGGGCAUGAUGAUUUGACGUCAUCCCCACCUUCCUCCAAGUUGUCCCUGGCAGUCCCUCCAGAGUGCCCACCUUAAAUGCUGGCUACUGAAAGUAAAGGUUGCGCUCGUUGCGGGACUUAACCCAACAUCUCACGACACGAGCUGACGACAACCAUGCACCACCUGUCUCCAAUGCCCCGAAGGGAACCAGGCAUUACCCUGAUGUCAUCG
rnacentral:rRNA from 1 species